rnacentral:pre_miRNA from 1 species
CAUAUACUCCCUCCGUCCAAAAAUACUUGUCAUCAAAAUGGAUAAAAUGAGAUGUAUCUAGAACUAAAAUACGUCUAGAUACAUCCCCUUUUAUCCAUUUUGAUGACAAGUAUUUCCGGACAGAGGGAAUAGAUG